rnacentral:rRNA from 1 species
AGGCAGCAGUGGGGAAUAUUGGACAAUGGGCGAAAGCCUGAUCCAGCCAUGCCGCGUGUGUGAAGAAGGUCUUCGGAUUGUAAAGCACUUUAAGUUGGGAGGAAGGGCAGUAAGUUAAUACCUUGCUGUUUUGACGUUACCGACAGAAUAAGCACCGGCUAACUCU